rnacentral:rRNA from 1 species
GGGUGAGUAACACGUAUGUAACCUGCCCUAUGCAGGGGGAUAACCCGGAGAAAUCCGGCCUAAUACCGCGUAACACCUUUUGGGAGCAUUCCCGGGAGGUUAAAGGAGAGAUCCGGCAUAGGAUGGACAUGCGUCGCAUUAGGUAGACGGCGGGGUAACGGCCCGCCGUGCCGACGAUGCGUAGGGGUUCUGAGAGGAAGGCCCCCCACACUGGUACUGAGACACGGACCAGACUCCUACGGGAGGCAGCAGUGAGGAAUAUUGGUCAAUGGCCGAGAGGCUGAACCAGCCAAGUCGCGUGAGGGAAGAAUGUCCUAAGGAUUGUAAACCUCUUUUGUCGGGGAGCAAAAAGGCUCUGCGGAGUCGUAUUGAGAGUACCCGAAGAAAAAGCAUCGGCUAACUCCGUGCCAGCAGCCGCGGUAAUACGGAGGAUGCGAGCGUUAUCCGGAUUUAUUGGGUUUAAAGGGUGCGCAGGCGGCGUGUCAAGCAAGCGGUAAAAUAGCGGGGCUCAACCCCGUCGAGCCGUUUGAACUGGCGCGCUUGAGUUCAGGCGAGGUAGGCGGAAUUCGUGGUGUAGCGGUGAAAUGCAUAGAUAUCACGAAGAACUCCGAUUGCGAAGGCAGCUUACCAGUCUGCGACUGACGCUCAAGCACGAAAGUGUGGGUAUCGAACAGGAUUAGAUACCCUGGUAGUCCACACAGUAAACGAU